GACGAACGCUGGCGGCGUGCUUAACACAUGCAAGUCGAACGGAAAGGCCCUGCUUUUGUGGGGUGCUCGAGUGGCGAACGGGUGAGUAACACGUGAGUAACCUGCCCUUGACUUUGGGAUAACUUCAGGAAACUGGGGCUAAUACCGGAUAGGAGCUCCUGCUGCAUGGUGGGGGUUGGAAAGUUUCGGCGGUUGGGGAUGGACUCGCGGCUUAUCAGCUUGUUGGUGGGGUAGUGGCUUACCAAGGCUUUGACGGGUAGCCGGCCUGAGCGGGUGACCGGCCACAUUGGGACUGAGAUACGGCCCAGACUCCUACGGGAGGCAGCAGUGGGGAAUAUUGCACAAUGGGCGGAAGCCUGAUGCAGCAACGCCGCGUGCGGGAUGACGGCCUUCGGGUUGUAAACUGCUUUCGCCUGUGACGAAGCGUGAGUGACGGUAAUGGGUAAAGAAGCACCGGCUAACUACGUG
rnacentral:rRNA from 1 species